CGGAGGACAAUCUAUUCUGGACUUUUCUCUUGCAUACAAUCUCAAGAUUGUUAACACUUAUUUUAAGAAGUAAGAGGAGCAUUUAAUCACAUAUAAAAUUAGUGCAAAGUUCUUUGUCAAA